rnacentral:rRNA from 1 species
GACGAACGCUGGCGGCGUGCUUAACACAUGCAAGUCGAACGAUGAAGCCGGAGCUUGCUCUGGUGAAUUAGUGGCGAACGGGUGAGUAACACGUGAGUAACCUGCCCUUGACUCUGGGAUAACUGCUAGAAAUGGUAGCUAAUACCGGAUACGACCCUCGGAGGCAUCUCCAGGGGGUGGAAAGAAUUUCGGUCAAGGAUGGACUCGCGGCCUAUCAGCUAGUUGGUGAGGUAACGGCUCACCAAGGCGACGACGGGUAGCCGGCCUGAGAGGGUGACCGGCCACACUGGGACUGAGACACGGCCCAGACUCCUACGGGAGGCGGCAGUGGGGAAUAUUGCACAAUGGGCGCAAGCCUGAUGCAGCAACGCCGCGUGAGGGAUGACGGCCUUCGGGUUGUAAACCUCUUUUAGUAGGGAAGAAGCGAAGGUGACGGUACCUGCAGAAAAAGCACCGGCUAACUACGUGCCAGCAGCCGCGGUAA